rnacentral:rRNA from 1 species
GACGAACGCUGGCGGCGUGCUUAACACAUGCAAGUCGAACGGUAAGGCUCCAGCUUGCUGGGGUACACGAGUGGCGAACGGGUGAGUAACACGUGGGUGACCUGCCCUGCACUUCGGGAUAAGCCUGGGAAACUGGGUCUAAUACCGGAUAGGACCAUGGUGUGGAUACUGUGGUGGAAAGUUUUUUCGGUGUGGGAUGGGCCCGCGGCCUAUCAGCUUGUUGGUGGGGUAAUGGCCUACCAAGGCGGCGACGGGUAGCCGGCCUGGGAGGGUGGACGGCCACAUUGGGACUGAGACACGGCCCAGACUCCUACGGGAGGAAGCAGUGGGGAAUAUUGCAAAAUGGGCGGAAGGCUGAUGCAGCGACGCCGCGUGGGGGAGGACGGCCUUCGGGGUGUAAACUCCUUUCACCAUCGACGAAGGGUUUCUGACGGUAGAUGGAGAAGAAGCACCGGCUAACUACGU